AGCAGUCGCCGCGGGAAUACGAAGGGCGCAAGCGUUAAUCGGAAUUACUGGGCGUAAAGCGUGCGUAGGCGGUUUGUUAAGUCUGUUGUGAAAUCCCCGGGCUCAACCUGGGAAUGGCAAUGGAUACUGGCAAGCUAGAGUGUGUCAGAGGAUGGUGGAAUUCCCGGUGUAGCGGUGAAAUGCGUAGAGAUCGGGAGGAACAUCAGUGGCGAAGGCGGCCAUCUGGGACAACACUGACGCUGAGGCACGAAAGCGUGGGGAGCAAACAGGAUUAGAUACCCGUGUAGUCCCUGUCUCUUAUAC
rnacentral:rRNA from 1 species